rnacentral:rRNA from 1 species
UCCCCACACCGGUGAGAAUGCCCUUAACAUCAAUAUAGAUCAAGAGGAGCAGGCAUUAAGCACACUAAUCAUGUAGCUCAAGAUGCCUUGCUUAACCACACCCCCAAGGGAAACAGCAGUGAUAGAAAUUUAGCAAUAAACGCAAGUUUGACUAAGUUAUGCUACUAUAGGGUUGGUAAAUUUCGUGCCAGCCACCGCGGUCAUACGAUUAACCCAAACUAAUAAAUUCCCGGCGUAAAGCGUGAUUAGAAUGAACAAAAAAUUAAAAUCAAAUAACAACUAAGCUGUAAAAAGUAAUAGUUACAAACAAAAAUAAACAACGAAAGUGAUUUUACAACCUUCGAACUCACGAUAGCUAAGAUCAACUGGGAUUAGAUACCCCACUAUGCUUAGCCCUAAACUUAAAUAAUUUCAUAACAAUUACUCGCCAGAGAACUACAAGCCAGAGCUUAAAACUCAAAGGACUUGGCGGUGCUUUAUACCCGCCUAGAGGAGCCUGUUCUAUAAUCGAUAAACCCCGAUAAACCUUACCACUCUUUGCCAACUCAGCCUAUAUACCGCCAUCUUCAGCCAACCCUAAAAAGGAACAAAAGUAAGCUCAAUUAUCCCCAUAAAAACGUUAGGUCAAGGUGUAGCCUAUAGAGUGGAAAGCAAUGGGCUACAUUUUCUUCUUCAGAACAUACGGAAGCCCUUAUGAAAUUCUAAGGGCCAAAGGAGGAUUU